GGGGGGGGGGGGGGGCGGGGGGGGCGCGGGGGGGGGGGGCGGGGAGGGGCUGGGUGUGGGGGGGGGUCGGGGGGGGAGCGGGGGAGUGACAGGUGGGUAACCGGCCCGUGACUUUGGGAUAAGUUCCGGAAACUGGGGCUAAUGCCGGGUAGGAACUCCUGGUUCAUGGGGGGGGUUUGACAUGUUCGGCGGUUGGGGAUGGACGCGCGGCUUAUAAGCUGGUGGGUGGGGUAGUGGCUUACCAAGGCUUUGACGGGUAGCCGGCCUGAGCGGGUGACCGGCCACAUUGGGACUGGGAUACGGCCCAGACUCCUACGGGAGGCAGCAGUGGGGAAUAUUGCACAAUGGGCGGAAGCCUGAUGCAGCAACGCCGCGUGAGGGAUGACGGCCUUCGGGUUGUAAACCGCUUUCGCCUGUGACGAAGCGUGAGUGACGGUAAUGGGUAAAGAAGCACCGGCUAACUACGUG
rnacentral:rRNA from 1 species